CCCGCGUCUGAUUAGCUAGUUGGUAAGGUAACGGCUUACCAAGGCGACGAUCAGUAGCCGGCCUGAGAGGGUGAUCGGCCACAUUGGAACUGAGACACGGUCCAAACUCCUACGGGAGGCAGCAGUGGGGAAUAUUGCACAAUGGGCGAAAGCCUGAUGCAGCAACGCCGCGUGAGUGAUGAAGGCCUUCGGGUCGUAAAAC
rnacentral:rRNA from 1 species